CCUACGGGAGGCAGCAGUGAGGAAUAUUGGUCAAUGGACGAGAGUCUGAACCAGCCAAGUAGCGUGAAGGAUGACUGCCCUGUGGGUUGUAAACUUCUUUUAUAAAGGAAUAAAACGAGGCACGUGUGCCUUUUUGCAUGUACUUUAUGAAUAAGCAUCGGCUAACUCCGUGCCAGCAGCCGCGGUAAUACGGAGGAUCCGAGCGUUAUCCGGAUUUAUUGGGUUUAAAGGGAGCGUAGAUGGGUUGUUAAGUCAGUUGUGAAAGUUUGCGGCUCAACCGUAAAAUUGCAAUUGAUACUGGCAGUCUUGAGUACAGUUGAGGUAAGCGGAAUUCGUGGUGUAGCGGUGAAAUGCAUAGAUAUCACGAAGAACCCCGAUUGCGAAGGCAGCAUACUAAACUGUGACUGACAUUGAUGCUCGAAAGUGUGGGUAUCAAACAGGAUUAGAUACCCGUGUAGUC
rnacentral:rRNA from 1 species